GUGUGUAUGGGGUACGAGUACUUAUAACCAAUUAGGGAAGAUUAGCAUGUCAGUGCAUGGGAAUCUGUGUACUUGCCUGUGCAUAUGUGUGUCAUAAGGGAAAGAAGGAAUUCUUGGUCAUAUUAGGGGAAUUUUUAAAAAAAUUCUUGUUGAUUCAGUUCCAACUCAUGGUGAUUGCAUGCAUGUCUGAGUAGAACUAAGCUCCAUAGAAUUUUCAGUGGUUGAUUUUGUUCAGAAAAAGAUCUCCAGGACUUUCUUCCAAGGUGCUUCUGGGUUGGCUCAAACCUCCAAACUUCACAUUAGCAGCUGAGUAUAUUAGCCAUUUGCACUGUCUAGGAAUUCCCCUGAUCCCUAAAGGCAUCAAAUUUUGUUUAAAAGGCUUGUUCCUUAAGGACCUUGUGAGAUCCUCUAGUCUCACCCUAAACAUUUGAGAAGGGAAACAAAACCCCAGAAGGGGAACACAAAACAAAGACAGUAGACAGCACGUCAGCCUGCAACAGGACAAGGACUGGAAGAUGCAUCUGCUCGUUCUAAUAGGAGCCCUGAUGGCCCAGCGGUUACGUGUUGGACUGCAAACCGAAAGGAUUGAAGUCCUGAUUCCAGGAUGGUACAUGCUUCCUAAGAUGCCCAGUGUCACCAUUAGUCAGAGGCCCUGGAUGAGACAUCCGAACAGAUGGACCAUGGACACCCCCUCUCUCCUGAACUUAGCGCGCCAAUGUUGGUCACUCUGAUGGCCUGAGGCUUGCCGCUCCAACACUACACUUCACUUUCCCACCAACCUACCUGCCAAGAUCCCAACGUGACUUUGGUCAAGUUCAUCCAAGUUACCAUAUUUGAGCUGAUUUCCUCUAACUUUUAGUUCCUGGGUUUCUAAAGUCACCCCACCCUAAUUCCUAAAACUAAUUCCUGGCCCCAGUUGAAAGACUUUCAGACUGAGUGAAAGUAAUCUUCCAUUGAAGUGCAUUGACAUCAAGACCCCAUUGAUACUUCCGUCCUUACCAGAAGUGUCAGCAGAGUCCAGCAAGGGCUUGGCUUACUGCCCUUCUUAAGGUCUCCCCAAUGUCUGCUCCAAAACCCAUAAUUGUCAGAAAAUAUACCCACGAACGUGGUCAGGAAGCAAA